UGGGGAAUUUUGGACAAUGGGCGAAAGCCUGAUCCAGCAAUGCCGCGUGUGUGAAGAAGGCCUUCGGGUUGUAAAGCACUUUUGUCCGGAAAGAAAUCCUUGGCUCUAAUACAGUCGGGGGAUGACGGUACCGGAAGAAUAAGCACCGGCUAACUACGUGCCAGCAGCCGCGGUAAUACGUAGGGUGCAAGCGUUAAUCGGGAUUACUGGGCGUAAAGCGUGCGCAGGCGGUUUGCUAAGACCGAUGUGAAAUCCCCGGGCUCAACCUGGGAACUGCAUUGGGUGACUGGCAGGCUAGAGUAUGGCAGAGGGGGGUUAGAAUUCCACGUGUAGCAGUGAAAUGCGUAGAGAUGUGGAGGAAUACCGAUGGCGAAGGCAGCCCCCUGGGCCAAUACUGACGCUCAUGCACGAAAGCGUGGGGAGCAAACAGGAUUAGAUACCCUGGUAGUCCACGCCCUAAACGAUGUCAACUAGUUGUUGGGGAUUCAUUUCCUAGUAACGUAGCUAACGCGUGAAGUUGACCGCCUGGGGAGUACGGUCG
rnacentral:rRNA from 1 species